ensembl:misc_RNA Metazoa_SRP Metazoan signal recognition particle RNA
GCCGGGCAUGGUGGCCCAUGCCUGUAGUCCCAGCUACUCGGGAGGCUGAGGCUGGAGGAUCACUUGAGUCCAGGAGUUCUAAGCUGUAGUGCACUAUGCCGAUUGGGUGUCCACACUAAAUUCGGCAUCAAUAUGGUGAUCUUCCAGGAGCAGGAGACCACCAGAUUGCCUAAGGAGGGGUGAACCAGCCCAGGUCAGAAACAGAGCAGGUUUGUGGCUGAUAGUCUUACAAAUGGAGCUGAAUUAAUUAUUAAGAAAGGUACUUCAGGGAGGAGAACAUUAGUUUCAG